rnacentral:snoRNA from 1 species
AAUCCAUGGUGUAGGCACUUCCUUAGCAUUGACUUGAAACAUUUCCAUGCUUCGUAAAGGGACUCACCUUCAUAUUGCUUGAAAUUAACAAUUUCUUACCUAAGCU